AUUCCAGCUCCAAUAGCGUAUACUAAAGUUGUUGCAGUUAAAAAGCUCGUAGUUGAAUUUCUGGUCGUGGCGAUCGGUCCGCCCCUCACGGGGUGUGCACCUGGUCUCUACGUCCAUCCUCGGGGAGAGCACGUCUGGCAUUCAGUUGUCGGGUGUGGGAUCCUCGUCAUUUACUGUGAGCAAAAUAGAGUGUUCAAAGCAGGCUUAGGCCGUUGAAUACAUUAGCAUGGAAUAAUAAGAUAGGACCUUGGUCUAUUUUGUUGGUUUGCAUUCCAAGGUAAUGAUUAAUAGGGAUAGUUGGGGGUAUUCGUAUUCAAUUGUCAGAGGUGAAAUUCUUGGAUUUAUGGAAGACGAACUACUGCGAAAGCAUUUACCAAGGAUGUUUUCAUUA
rnacentral:rRNA from 1 species